CCUACGGGAUGCAGCAGUGGGGCAUAUUGCACAAUGGGGGACACCCUGAUGCAGCGACGCCGCGUGAGUGAAGAAGUAAUUAGUUAUGUAAAGCUCUAUCAGCAGGGAAGAAAAUGACGGUACCUGAGUAAGAAGCCCCGGCUAACUACGUGCCAGCGGCCGCGGUAAUAAGUAGGGGGCAAGCGUUAUCCGGAUUUACUGGGUGUAAAGGGAGCGUAGACGGCAGUGCAAGUCUGGAGUGAAAGGCGGGGGCUCAACCCCCGGACUGCUCUGGAAACUGUACGGCUGGAGUGCAGGAGAGGUAAGUGGAAUUCCUAGUGUAGCGGUGAAAUGCGUAGAUAUUAGGAGGAACACCAGUGGCGAAGGCGGCUUACUGGACUGUAACUGACGUUGAGGCUCGAAAGCGUGGGGAGCAAACAGGAUUAGAUACCCGAGUAGUC
rnacentral:rRNA from 1 species